UCAACACUGGCCUGUUGGGUUUCUCAGGGUGCGCCUUCCUAAGUGAGGGUCAGCGGAUUGGCUCAGACAGGCAGGGCUCUGGCAUUUGGCGGGGCCUGUCAGCUGAAAUGCAGAGGACAUAAUUCUACAGGUCGAGGAGUUUCGCAGACAUAACUCCUUGGGAGCAGUGCCCAGGUCAAGAAAGAAAAUGUGGCCAAUGCCCCAGGAUCUUAUUUGGUCAUCCAGGCUGGACUGCAGUGGUGUGAUCAUAGCUCACUGCAGCCUCAAACUGCUGGACUCCAGUGAUCUUCCAGCCUCAGCCUCCCCCGGUAGCAAGGACUACAGGUCUCACUCUCUGUCGCCCAGCCUGGAGUGCAGUGGCAUCAUCUGAGCUCACUACAACCUCCGCCUCCCGGGUUCAAGCGAUUCUCCUGCCUCAGCCUCCUGAGUAGCUGGGACUACAGGCACGCGCCACCACGCCCAGCUAAUUUUCGUAUUUUUAAUAGACAUGGGGUUUCACCAUGUUGGCCAGGCUGCUCUUGAACUGCUAACCUCAAGUGAUCCACCAGCGUUGGCCUCUCAAAGUACUAGGAUUACAGUGCUAGGAGCCACCAUGCCCGGCCGCCUCUCUUUUCUUUUACACAUGAAGAAAAAGUGGUCAGAGAAGUUAACUUGGUCAGUGCCAAAAGCACUGGAAGUGAGUAGGACCAAGCUUUUCAUCUAGAUUUGUUUGUUAGACUCUAAAUCCAAAUUCACAACAAGAUCAGAAUAUGAGAAACCUAAGGAACAAAAUUCUAGGAAUCAUUUCUAGAAACUGUGGCUAUUGAAAAAGCACAGACCUAGGGAAUCAAAUUAUUUUCCCUGCCACCAGCACAUGGGUAGGCCUGUGACAAAUUCCAUGCUCUGGACCCCAGAUUCCUCAGUGAGAAUAGAAGGGGCUAGAGACAUCAGGGAAUUGGAUUUGGUGACUUUAAUACCCACUCAGCUCCAAAGCAUUCUUGAAUGAUGCACGAUUUAUGAAUAUAUAUAUUGAAAUUUACUGAUGGGUGAACAGCUCUCAACAUGAGAUUUUUGUUGUAUGCCUUAAAAAAGAUUAUACAUAAAUAUGCGUGUGUGUGUGUAUGUAUGUUUCGAUGUAUAUGAACCCAUGAUCUGAAAAAUGGCCACUGUGGCUUGUGGAAACCUAUUAAUCUCUGCUGUUCCACCCAACAUCCUCAGAGAAAAAAAUAAACAACUUUUUGAAAGUGCUGCCAUGGGGUCAGACCAAAUACUGUGGCCACUUCCAAGGGGUUUGCCUUGAUUUGCCUGGAUUCCUGUUCAUGUGACAUCUGCCUUCUAAUUCAAGGAUAUGAUCAAUUCAAUGUGUGAGUUAUCAAUCAAGGACUGGCAACAGUGAUGCUGAACAAGCCUGGUGGAAGGAAAGAGAAGGCAGGCCAGAGCCCAGACAGACGCAUUCACAAACCUUACAAAGAGGACAGGCUAAUUAGGGGCUGUAGUUCUCCCUCUCUUUAUAGUUGGUAUAAGAGGAGUGGUAAUCGUAGUGUCCAAAAAUAUAUGGGCUACAUAGUUGCUUAGUAAGCUGUGGGUAUGUGGUUUCUUCUGCAAGGUGCUUUCUUUCUGAUAAAGAGAUUACGUUGUUUGUUUGUUCAUUUAUUGAACAUAUUUACACUUACACACACACACACACACACACACAAUGUUCCAGAUACCGUACUUGGCAAUGGUAGUUAGACCUUGCUCUUGCAAAAUUUAUAAUGAAGUUGGGAAGUGUGGUUUGAUCCCUCAAAGUGUCCAAAUCCUAAUCCCCAG
rnacentral:lncRNA from 1 species